rnacentral:tRNA from 1 species
CCUUCGAUAGCUCAGUUGGUAGAGCGGUGGACUGUAGUGAGAAUUUCGGUGCAUCAGCACAGAGCAGGCAUCCAUAGGUCGCUGGUUCAAAUCCGGCUCGAAGGA